rnacentral:rRNA from 1 species
UGGGGAAUAUUGCACAAUGGGCGCAAGCCUGAUGCAGCCAUGCCGCGUGUGUGAAGAAGGCCUUCGGGUUGUAAAGCACUUUCAGCGAGGAGGAAGGUGGUGAACUUAAUACGUUCAUCAAUUGACGUUACUCGCAGAAGAAGCACCGGCUAACUCCGUGCCAGCAGCCGCGGUAAUACGGAGGGUGCAAGCGUUAAUCGGAAUUACUGGGCGUAAAGCGCACGCAGGCGGUUUGUUAAGUCAGAUGUGAAAUCCCCGGGCUCAACCUGGGAACUGCAUUUGAAACUGGCAAGCUAGAGUCUCGUAGAGGGGGGUAGAAUUCCAGGUGUAGCGGUGAAAUGCGUAGAGAUCUGGAGGAAUACCGGUGGCGAAGGCGGCCCCCUGGACGAAGACUGACGCUCAGGUGCGAAAGCGUGGGGAGCAAACAGGGUUAGAUACCCUGGUAGUCCACGCUGUAAAACGAUGUCGAUUUUGGAGGUUGUGCCCUUGAGGCGUGGCUUCCGGAGCUAACGCGUUAAAUCGACCGCCUGGGGAGUACGGCCGCAAGGUUAAAACUCAAAUGAAUUGACGGGGUCAUAGCUGUUUCCU